rnacentral:piRNA from 1 species
UAUAUGCUAGGGGAAUAUAAUGUAAUG